GAUGAGAACCUGAAGGCCAAUAUCAUCAAGAGAGCAGAAAUCCUUUCAAUAUAUGAGAUUCAUAGAUGGCAGCCUUCUUGCUCUGUCAGCACAUAGUGGAGAGAGAAAGCUGGUGUCUCUUCCUUUUUUUUUUUUUUUUUAUAAAGGCACUAAUCUCACCAUGAGGGCUCCACUUUCAUGACCUCAUCUAAACGACUUUCCCAAUUUGAGAACUGAAGAGUCCUGCAUCCUGGGAAACCCUUUGCAUCUGAAACAUCAGAAAUUUGGUCAACCUAGGAAGAAUGCUACCCACUGAAAAUUGAAACGGACUGGAAUUGAACAAGGAAUUGCUGAAUUGAAUGAGAUAAAGGAUUCAUUGGAAAAUUAUGUGAAUCUGAGCUAAACUAAAUUGAUUUACCAUAAAAAGAAUAAAACACCACUACAGAGGGGGAAAAGUAAUGGUGUAUCCAGGGGACUGGAGAAAGUCAAGCUAGAUACAGUGAAGAAGGAAAGGAUAAUAGAAGGCCAUGUUAGAACUGUUUGCUGGGAGAAAAACAGAAGGGCGAUAGAAUAGUUAACUGACACCAUUAAGAAUUUGGUGAUCAUUUAUUUACGGAUGUUCAGAAAAUUUUUGCAUGUCUUAUUUCAAGGCUUUUGCUCCAUCUGAUAGCCAGGAUAAUUUGUGUGAAUUUUAAAUACGUGUCUUCAUAAGUCCUUAACAUUUGAAUGCCACUGAUAAUGCUGAUGACACCACAGAUCAACCUACACAGAUAUUCUGCAUCUAAGUAUUCCAAGAAAUUAUUCAUUAUGUACAAUAACCCAUAUGAGGACAGUCAAGUACUUUAAUUUUGAGAGCUACAUAGAAUAGAUUCCAGCCAAGUUACAUUUAAUGAGUUAUAUAAUUAGUUGCUUAUUUGGAAGUAGAAAACCCUUAAAUGUUAUUAAAUAUAAUUAUUUUUAUAUUUAUUAAUUUCUAAAUACCAUUAAUUCCUAACUUUCAAACCUUUCUGUUACCCUAAAUUGAAUGGCCUUUUCUAAAAGGGACGCGGUUUCACCUGGAUUAUUAACAAACAGAAUACGAAAUAGCUUUCUAUGUACUUUGAAACAAUCCCUUUUUUGUAACAGUUUAUUGUAACAGAAUAAUGGGCCUCCAAAUGUCUACAUUGCAACUCAUGAAACCUGUUAAUAAGUUUUCUUACAUAGAAAAACGAACUUUGCAGAUCUGAUUAUGCUUAGAGAUCUCGAAGAAAUUAUCCUAGAUUAUCUACAUUAGCUCAAUCUAAUCACAUGAGUGAGUUCUUCAAAUCGGAGAACCUUUGCCAGCUGUGAUGAAAGAGCGAUAUGACAACAGAUAAAGGGUUAGAGAAGUGGCAAUAGUUUUAGCUUUGAAGAUUGAGGGACAGGGCCAUGAGCCAAGCAAUGUAGAUGACCUCUAGAAGCCAAACAGGCAAAGAAACUAAUUAUCCCCUAGAGUCUCUGCAAAUAAAAACACCUUUGCUGAUAUCUUUAUUGUAGCCCAGUGAGACCCAUGCCUGACUUAUUUUCUUACAGUUCUACAGAAAAUAAAUCUUUUUACAGUUCCUUACAGAACUGUAAGUAAAUAAAUUUGUAUUGUUUUUAAGCCAGUAAGUUUGUGGUAAAGCUUUACAACUGCAACAGACAGUUAAUAUAUUACCUAAAAUAUUGCUUGUCAAACUUAGAAUAUAAAUUGCCUGCAGAUCUUGAAAAAUGUAGAUCCUGGCUUAGUACCUGGUAGGUAGUGCCCAGGAUUCUGUAUAUCUAAUAAGGUCCUAGGUUAUACCAAGGCUGCUUGUCCAUGGCUCAUACUUUGGUUAGCAAGAAUUAAAAGCAUGUGCUACAGCUCUGUAACCUUACGUCAAUUUGACACACCCAUGAUCUCAUGACAAAAAAAAGUGAGUUGUAAGCCUCCUAAUUUUGCUUAAGUUACCCUGUUUUGUUUGUUGUUGUCCUUUUUCUACUUAAAUUUUUAUUCACAUGAUAGUCAGUUUUGGAUCCUUUACUGAUUGGGUAACCAGUGAUGAUAUUUAAAAUGAUUUUUCUACUUCAGCCCUCAACUUGACCUUCAGUACUUUCUCAUUUUUUUCCCUUUGAAUUCACCUGUUCUGCUCUUGCAUGUUGACACUUUCAUGACUGACUCCAACUUGCCUGACUCCACAACAAUCCCUUGUAUGACCAACUUUCUAAAUAGAAUACUUGCUACCCCUCCAAUGUUUAGAAGAUAUAAAAGUAGUUUUGCUAGUUAGUGUUAAAAUAAUGUUAUUUAGAAGCCGCCAUAAAAUCCUGUUUCAAACACGCUACCUUUGAGGAAAGACACGUCACACAACAAAUCUAGGCAGAUAAAAAUUACAAGUAGAGUUUUAGAAUAUCAAGAUCAUUAGAUGUUAUAUUUUACCUAGUAUAAUCUCUCUUCAUGUUGUUUCAUUGCUUGUGGUUAUAUGCAUAUUUCAUUGUAAUAGUGUUCUACUUUUUGGAUACACUAGAAUUCAAAUAGAUUCUUCCUGUUAAUCAUCAAUAUCUCAAUGUUCAAUUUUACAUUAGAAUUGCCUCAUAAUCUAAUAGGUGAUAGAUGAUAGAUGAUAGAUAGAUAAAUACAAGAAAGAUAGACAAAGGAAUAUGUAACUACACUCACCUCCUAGAUAAAUUAGAAUCUUUAAGAUGGGAAGAGCUAUUCAUAACUUAAAAAUUUUCCUAGAUAAUUCAAAUUGGCAACAAAGUUUGAAGACAACUAAUAUAAGUAAUAGUUUUGAGAUACUUAAACAUUUUUCUAAUUUACAUAAAAUUUAUUUUCUAAAAUACUUUGAAUUACACAUUCAUUAAAAAUAAAUUUCUACUCAAAAGAUAAUAAGUUAUUAAAAAGUACUUGCAUGGUGAAUUAAUUAUCUAUUGCUCUAUAACCUACCAUUCUAAAACUUAGUGUAUUGUACAUCAAUUCAUCUUGCUCACAACUCUACAAGAUAGGCUGGGCUUAUUCGUGCUUCUUCUGCUGGGCUCACCACUCAUAUGACUGCAGUCACUUGGCAAGUCAACAGUGGCUCUAGGGGCCAUGAGGGCCUCAUUUUCAUGUCUGGCAGUGAGCUAGUUCUGUUGGCUGGGACUCUUUGGCACUUUUUCCUGUAGCCUCUCUAACCUUUCCAGCAGAUCAGCUUAGGUUUCUUACACAGAAGUGACAAAAUUCCAGGUUGCCAAGACCAAUUAUAGAAGUGUUUAUUAAGCCUCAUUUUCUGUAAUACUUAUGGAUAUACCAUUGAUCAAAGCACAUCUCAAGGCUAACCCCAGUAUCAGCAUAGAAAGGAAAUACACAGAGGCAUGAAUUUUGGGAGGUGUGUUUAAUUAUGGUCCAUUAACGUAGUAAUCUAACACACUCAGUGUAAUUUAUUAGUGCCAAAUAUAAAAUCUGCGGCCGGGCAUGGUGGCUGAUGCCUGUAAUCCCAGCACUUUGGGAGGCCAAGGAGGGUGGAUCACCUGAGGUCAGGAGUUUGAGACCAGCCUGGCCAACAUGGUGAAACCCUGUCUCUGCUAAAAAUACAAAAAAGUUAGCUGAGCAUGGUGGCAUGCACUGUAAUCCCAGCUACUAGGGAGGCUGAGCUGAGAUUGUGCCACUGCACUCUAGCCUGGGUGAUAGAGCUCGGCUUCAUCUCAAAAAAAAAAAAAAAAAUCUGCACAUGGCUAAUUAUGUAAUACAUAUUCUGAUUUCAGCUUUUUUAAAGUAUUUUUUGUAAUACUCGUUAACAAAAAGUACAUAAAGUGUAACUAUCAAAGUGAAUAAAUGAUUGCAAAUGAGUAGCAAGGUGACCAAAAAUCAGCAGCAGAAGAAGAAUUUUGCCAGCAUCCCAGAAUCCCCCUAAACAUCCCUUUUGGGUCACAUAUUCUUGUUUCACACAAUGGGUAUCUUUUAUUCUGAAAGUUAAGGAAACACUUUCUUGAUUCUCUUGAGAACCCCACUCAAUGAUUUUUUUUCCUGUUUUUAAAUUUCAUAGAAAUAUGAUAUAAUGCAUGUUAUUUUCUAUCUGGCUUCUUUUGCACAACGGUAUAUGUUUCAGUCACUCAGGGUGCUACAUAGAGCUACAUUUCAUUGAUUGUAUGGCUGUAUUCUUAAAAAUAAACCACAUUUUCUUUGUUAAUUCUUUGGCUGCUGAACAUUUGUUACUAUUUUAGAUUUAUUACAAUGUACUAUAUAUAAUAUUGCUCUAAACAUAAACACAUAUACACUGUACAUAUGCUUUGCAGGUUUCAGUGCACAUAAACACAUGUAUAUGCAUACCCCAAAGAGAUAUAUAAUCUGAAGGAGAAUUAUUUCUGAGUCAUAGAGAAUGCAUUCCCAUUUAAAGAUAAAAAAGAUAAUAAACUUCAGCAGCAUUUGGUUAAUUGUAGUAAGUGUUUCAUAGUCACUUGAUGAGAAUAUGGAUUUAUCAUUCUGCAUUCUGUCACUUAACUAUUUUGCUAAACUUAUCUGUAGAUUUGUUUUAUUUUCUAUGUUUAUAAUUAUCUGUGCAUAAUAAAAAUUUUCCUCUUUCUCUUAUUUCAAUCGUCUUAGUUUUAUUUUUUUUCUUUUUAAAUAUUCAGGCAAAUAUUUUUUGGCUCCACUAUGAUUGAGAGUGGUGAGAACAAGUAAAUAUUUUUACAUGAAAUAAAUUUAUUUGCCAUUCAAGCGCUGUAAAAAUGCAUUUUUGCUUUCUUUAAAUCAAAUUUCCAUUUCAAUUUUAUCUGCAGAUAUUAUGCAUUUCCCUUAUGCCUACUAACUGUAAUUACUCCAUUAUCAUUGGAAUUCAUUAUUAUUUUUCUAUAUUAAGCACUGCGAAAUGAGUUUUGGAGGGAUGCUUUGAAGGCUAUUUUUAUUGCAUGUUAAUAUUAUUAUAUGCAUUAUUUAAGAAAUAAAAUGAAGAAAGUCAUUUUUGGAAAUCCAAUGCCUCAAGAGUCAAUUAAUAUUUUAGAUACUGAAACCACUAUUUAAGAAGGAUCUUAGUCAGUUUAGGAUGCCUAGCAAAAUGCCACAGACUAAGUGACUAAAACAAUAGAAAUUUUCUUCUCACAGUUCUGGAGGCUUCUAAGUCUGAGAUCAGAGUGCCAGCAUGGGGCAGUUCUGGUGAAGGCCCUCUUUCUGGCUUACAGACGACCACUUUAUCACUCUUUUUUUUCACAUGGAUCAAGGCAGAAAGAGAGAGAGAGAGAAGGGGGGAGAGAGAGAGAGAGAAGGAGAGAGAGAGAGAGAGAGAGAGAGAGAGAGAGAGAAAACACACAAGCUCUCUGCUGUCUUUUAUUACAAAGAAUACUAAUCUCAUCUAAACCUAGUUACCUCCCAAAGCCCCCAUCUCUGAAUCAUUACAUUCGGAGGUUAAGGGUUCAACAUUUGAUGUUGGAGCAAGACAAUUCAGUUAAUAACAAAGACUAAAUUCCCUUUUCCUUCUCUGCUUUUUUUUUUUUUGUUGUUGUUUUUUGAGAUGGAGUCUUGCUCUGUCACCAAGGCUAGAGUGCAGUGGCAGGAUCUCGGCUCACUGCAACCUCCGCCUCCCAGGUUCAAGCGAUUGUUCUGCCUCAGUCCCCCAAGUAGCUGGGACCACAGGUGCGUGCCACCACGCCCAGCUAAUUUUUUGUAGUUUUAGUAGAGAUGGGGUUUCACCGUGUUAGGCAGGAUGGUUUCUAUCUCCUGACCUCAUGAUCUGCCUGCCUAGGCCUCCCAAAGUGCUGGGAUUACAGGUGUGAGCCACCACGCCCGGUCCCCUUCUCUCUUUUUUCCUUCCUUCCUUUCCUCUUUCUUUUCUUUUUUCCUUACUUCUUUCCAUUAUUUUUCUUCUUCCCUCUUUCAUUCCUUUUCUUGCUCUCUCUUCCUUUCUAGCCUUCCUACUUUCCUUUUUUAUUAAAAUUAUUUGAACAAUAAUCAUUACAUAGUAAUAUAAUUUUAUUUUGGUAACAAUUUCAUAAUUAUCUUUGAAUGAUUUAUUAUCUCUUCGAAAUUUUCAAGUUGUCAAGCAUUUUCUUCAAAUAUCCUGAGCUACCUUUUUGCCUGAGGAUAAAACAAGGAAACAGGCAUACCUCUGAAAUAUUGUAGGUUGGGUUCCUGGCCCCUACAAUAAAGUGAAUAUCUCAAUAAAGCAAGUCACACAAAUUUUCUGGUUUUCUAGAACAUAUAAAAGUUAUGUUUACACUAUGCUGUAGUUUAUUGAGUGUGCAAUAACAUUAUGUCUAAAAAUAAUAAUGUACAUACCUUAAUUAAGAUUUUAUUGCUAAAAAUUCUAAUGAUCAUCUGAGCCCUCUGUGAGUUGUAAUCUUCUUGCCCAGUUGUUGAUGGCUGCUGACUGACAAGGGUGGUGGUUGCUGAAGGUUGAAGUUGCAGGGAACAUUCUUAAAAUAAUAAAAUAAUAAAAUCUGCAGCAUCCAUUGACACUUAUUUUCAUGGAAGAUUUCUCUGUGGUGUGCAAUGCUGUUUGACAGCCUUUUAUCCAAAGUGGGACAUCUUUCAAAAUUAGAGUGAAUUCUGUCAAACAUUGCUGCAGCUUUAUCAACUAAGUGUAUACAAUAUUCAAAAUCCUAAAUCAAACUAUCUAUAUGUUUUUAUUAAAUUGACCUGUGAUUUUCCAUGUAAACACAUAAUUUAUAUAGAACUAAAUUACUUUAUUUCCAUAUAAAAGAACAGCCAUCUUGAGAUAUUGAAAUACAAGUUAUCCCUUUUAACUUGACAAUGUAGUACUUUUUUCUGGUCCUUUGCAUGUUUGUAUAUAUACAUCAUUAUAAUAAUGUUUUAUCUGAAUACAUUAGAUAAACUUAUUACAGCCUUAUUAUCACUUUAUCUUUAACAUGGAGGACUCAAAUAUAAGGUAUACUUGCUCUGCACUACCACUGAAAUAUUUACAUUGGCAAAUUAAAAGUAAAAAACACCCAAAUCCUAGUUUCACAGGUUGGUCAUGAAUAUUAACAAAAUGAUAUUAUUAAUUAUACUAGAAAUUCCUUACUCAAGGAUAGUAGUCUAAUCAC
rnacentral:lncRNA from 1 species